rnacentral:rRNA from 1 species
CUACGGGUGGCUGCAGUGGGGAAUAUUGCGCAAUGGGGGAAACCCUGACGCAGUGACGCCGUGUGGGUGAUGAAGGUUUUCGGAUCGUAAAGCUCUGUCAGACGGGAAGAAUAAGAACAGUAAAAAUAUUGCUGUUUGAUGACGGUACCGUCAGAGGAAGCACCGGCUAACUCCGUGCCAGCAGCCGCGGUAAUACGGAGGGUGCAAACGUUGUUCGGAAUUACUGGGCGUAAAGCGCAUGUAGGCGGAUAUGUAGGUCAGAUGUGAAAUCCCUUGGCUCAACCAAGGAAGUGCAUCUGAAACCCCAUAUCUUGAGUACGAGAGAGGGAAGUGGAAUUCCCAGUGUAGAGGUGAAAUUCAUAGAUAUUGGGAAGAACACCGGUGGCGAAGGCGGCUUUCUGGCUCGUAACUGACGCUGAGAUGCGAAAGCGUGGGGAGCAAACAGGAUUAGAUACCCUUGUAGUC